AUGGCGGCCUUGUCCUCUUCGUCGUCUUCCGUCAUCCAAUCCUUCCAGCAGCGGCGGCGGCGAUGAUCCCUCGCAGCACGGCGCGGAGAUCCUUGGCUCAGCUCCAUCGCUCGCGGUGGUGAAGAGCGUGAGAACUACAUUCACGAGCGCAAACAACAUCCAGGACCUGGCCGACCGGCGAAGCAUUGUGUGCAACAAUGCGGACUCGGAGAGAACUGAUAUGUUGGGUAAGAGAAACCUCCUCCUUUUUCUUAGAGUGAGUUUCGUGGAUUUUCGAGAGAGGAGAGCUCGCAUUCUAGGCUCCAGUUUUCGGGAGGAGAGCUAGCAUAGUUUCCUCUAGGGAGAGCUAGCAUCUUUCAUAGCUUACUUCUAGAUCCGGAGUUCUUUCGAUUAGAAGUUUGAGUAUCCGAGAACCUACUAUGUUUUUGGCGAGUAUCCAAGCCCAAGCUGCCAUCCUCGUCCUCGACUUCCAGAGGAAGUGGCCUCAGCAAGCCCUUCCGGAUCUCGCCAGCGCUCAAAUCCUUCCUGGCCAAACGAGACCGAGAUGGUACAUCCUCCAGGACCAGGCGAGUGAUUUGCGACGCCAAGCUCUGAGAAUUUUGCUCCAGUGUGAAUCCCGCUUUUUCUCAAGGAAAGAUUAAAGGAAGGGUAUUCCGGGGUUUAAGAGGAAAGAAGGAAGAGUGUGGAUAAAUUUUGUACAUAUGGCCCUUUGUUUUCAUAAAUAUCGUGAAAAAGUAAUUCUUCAAAAACCA